AUUGAACGCUGGCGGCAUGCCUUACACAUGCAAGUCGAACGGUAACAGGUCUUCGGAUGCUGACGAGUGGCGAACGGGUGAGUAAUACAUCGGAACGUGCCCGAUCGUGGGGGAUAACUACUCGAAAGAGUAGCUAAUACCGCAUACGAUCUACGGGUGAAAGCGGGGGAUCUUCGGACCUCGUGCGGACGGAGCGGCCGAUGGCAGAUUAGGUAGUUGGUGGGAUAAAAGCUUACCAAGCCGACGAUCUGUAGCUGGUCUGAGAGGACGACCAGCCACACUGGGACUGAGACACGGCCCAGACUCCUACGGGAGGCAGCAGUGGGGAAUUUUGGACAAUGGGCGAAAGCCUGAUCCAGCAAUGCCGCGUGCAGGAUGAAGGCCUUCGGGUUGUAAAGGACUUUUGUCCGGGAGCAAAUGCUGGUGGCUAACAUCCACCGGAGCUGAGAGUACCGGAAGAAUAAGCACCGGCUAACUACGUGCCAGCAGCCGCAGUAAAAC
rnacentral:rRNA from 1 species